rnacentral:rRNA from 1 species
UACAGAGGUCUCAAGCGUUGUUCGGAUUCAUUGGGCGUAAAGGGUGCGUAGGCGGCGCGGUAAGUCGGGUGUGAAAUCUCGGAGCUUUAACUCCGAAACUGCAUUCGAUACUGCCGUGCUUGAGGACUGGAGAGGAGACUGGAAUUUACGGUGUAGCGGUGAAAUGCGUAGAUAUCGUAAGGAAGACCAGUGGCGAAGGCGGGUCUCUGGACAGUUCCUGACACUGAGACAUCGAAGGCCAGGGGGAGCAAAACGGGG